UAAACGUUUUAUUAUUUUCUC
rnacentral:siRNA from 1 species